rnacentral:rRNA from 1 species
UCUUGGUCCCAUUUAGAGGAAGUAAAAGUCGUAACAAGGUUUCCGUAGGUGAACCUGCGGAAGGAUCAUUACCGAGUGUAGGGUUCCUAGCGAGCCCAACCUCCCACCCGUGUUUACUGUACCUUAGUUGCUUCGGCGGGCCCGCCAUUCAUGGCCGCCGGGGGCUCUCAGCCCCGGGCCCGCGCCCGCCGGAGACACCACGAACUCUGUCUGAUCUAGUGAAGUCUGAGUUGAUUGUAUCGCAAUCAGUUAAAACUUUCAACAAUGGAUCUCUUGGUUCCGGCAUCGAUGAAGAACGCAGCGAAAUGCGAUAACUAGUGUGAAUUGCAGAAUUCCGUGAAUCAUCGAGUCUUUGAACGCACAUUGCGCCCCCUGGUAUUCCGGGGGGCAUGCCUGUCCGAGCGUCAUUGCUGCCCAUCAAGCACGGCUUGUGUGUUGGGUCGUCGUCCCCUCUCCGGGGGGGACGGGCCCCAAAGGCAGCGGCGGCACCGCGUCCGAUCCUCGAGCGUAUGGGGCUUUGUCACCCGCUCUGUAGGCCCGGCCGGCGCUUGCCGAACGCAAAUCAAUCUUUCCAGGUUGACCUCUGAUCAGGUAGGGAUACUCCGCUGAACUUAAGCAUAUCAUAGGCCGGAAGGA